CUCAUUGAGAAAACUGAGGUCAUCCGGGUGCUUUCUGUCACUUCCUACUUUCUACGUACAAUUUACCUCUACCCAGUCGGUCCUCUGCUGAGCCUGCCCUGCGGCAGGGAAAGCCGCCCACGAACCCGAUCCCGCUGCUGACCGGGGACCAGAUGCUUAUUACACAGCCGCUGCAAGCCCAGCUCUUUGCAGUGGAGGCGGCAGGAAAAAGAGAAAGACUUCCACUCAAGGAACAUCGAUUACAGAGGCUAGCAUGCUUGCACGGGGUUUUCUAGAGAAAAGCAGACAACGGCAUGUUGUGCCAUAAAGGUCUGGAAACCAGAAGUCUGGAAGCAGUUUUACUGGGCUAACAUCAAGGCAUCCACAGGGCUGGUUUCCUCUGGAGGCUCCAUGGGAGAAUCGGCUUCUUUGAUUCCUUCCUCACCUUACCCUCAACCCAUUUGCUUUCAGGAUCACAUCCCUUCCUCCCUCCUCUCCUCAUUACUCAAAUCUUCCUCCUCUCUCUCCUAAUGACCCUUGAGAUUAUAUUUUGGGUCCACCAGACAAUACAGGAUAAUCUCCCCAUUUCCAGAUCCUUAAUUUAAUCACGUCUGCAAAGUCCUUUGGCACAUAAGGUAAUAUGCACAGAUGCUGGGGAUUAGAACAUGGAUCCUUUGGGGGACAGUAUUUAGCAUACUAUAGUUUUACACACUGAAUUUCACCUGCCCCUUGACUGCUCACAUAUCUUUGUGCCACUUUCUUGAGUCUUAUUCCGGCCAAAGAAUGUUACUUAAUAAGGCAUUUCCAUAGAUAUGAAUAUGGGUAUAUAUGAAGUUAUUUAUUAUUUAUGCAUUUUCCUAUGUAUUUUAUAAUUUUCAAGGUAUACUGACACAUCUUUAAGAAUUUAGAGGGUAUGAUUUCUGUGUUCUCAGUGCUUGUGUUUAACUUCACAGAAAAAAACAUCAUGCCAAUAUUAUAUAUAACUUCUUUAAGCCUGUGGAAAGAGAGCCUGUACGAAGACCCGUAAAUGUAUCGUGGGAGAUGUGUCAGUGGUGGACGGGCAUUGGGCUGGUUGCUCAGAUGCCAGCAAAUGGUACCACCUUCUUUCUAGUCUACUAAAUUCCAGCGUCCAAUGUGCCCCUCACCACCCCCCCCCCAUUCUGCUGACUGCACCACCCAAUUCACCUCCAACUUCCCCAGUUUGUCUUUUGGCUUUGUCCACUGUCUUCAACACCCAGUUGGAGAAAUUUCCAUUGAACUUUUAUCUUUUGUCCACCUCUGUCCUUCAUGACUUUCUUCUUCAGUAAUCUUAUCUACUCCUUCAACUUCAACUCUCAUCCAUGGGGAUAAAUU